rnacentral:rRNA from 1 species
AGAGUUUGAUCAUGGCUCAGGAUGAACGCUAGCGACAGGCUUAACACAUGCAAGUCGAGGGGCAGCAUGGGCGUGGCAACACGCCUGAUGGCGACCGGCGCACUGGUGAGUAACACGUAUGCGACCUGCCUCCUUCAGGGGGAUAACCCAGAGAAAUUUGGCCUAAUACCCCAUAGUCCGCGCGGCUGCAUGGCCGUGCGGGGAAAGCUGCGGCGGAAGGAGAUGGGCAUGCGGCGCAUUAGCUAGUUGGCGGGGCAACGGCCCACCAAGGCUACGAUGCGUAGGGGUUCUGAGAGGAAGGUCCCCCACACUGGUACUGAGACACGGACCAGACUCCUACGGGAGGCAGCAGUGAGGAAUAUUGGUCAGUGGGCGGAGGCCUGAACCAGCCAAGUCGCGUGGGGGACGACGGCCCUACGGGUUGUAAACCCCUUUAGCCGGGGAGUAACAAGCGCCACGCGUGGCGCCAUGAGAGUACCCGGAGAAUAAGCAUCGGCUAACUCCGUGCCAGCAGCCGCGGUAAUACGGAGGAUGCGAGCGUUAUCCGGAUUCAUUGGGUUUAAAGGGUGCGCAGGCGGCGCUCCAAGUCAGCGGUCAAAGUUCCGGGCUCAACCCGGUGCCGCCGUUGAAACUGGGGUGCUUGAGUAGGUGCGACGGAGGCGGAAUGCGUKGUGUAGCGGUGAAAUGCAUAGAGAUUGGGAGGAACACCAGUGGCGAAGGCGACUUACUGGACUGUAACUGACGCUGAGGCGCGAAAGUGUGGGGAGCAAACAGGAUUAGAUACCCUGGUAGUCCACACUGUAAACGAUGAAUGCUAGGKGUAGGGGGUAUCGACCCUUCUGUGCCGCAGUAAACACAAUAAGCAUUCCGCCUGGGGAGUACGGCCGCAAGGUUGAAACUCAAAGGAAUUGACGGGGGCCCGCACAAGCAGCGGAGCAUGUGGUUUAAUUCGACGCAACGCGAAGAACCUUACCAGGUCUUGACAUCCAGUUAAAGCCAUAGAGAUAUGGUGUGUGCUUGCACAAACUGAGACAGGUGGUGCAUGGUUGUCGUCAGCUCGUGUCGUGAGAUGUUGGGUUAAGUCCCGCAACGAGCGCAACCCUUAUUCUCAGUUACUAACGCGUAGAGGCGAGGACUCUGAAGAGACUGCCGGGGACAACUCGGAGGAAGGUGGGGACGACGUCAAAUCAUCAUGCCCCUUAUGUCCUGGGCUGCACACGUGCUACAAUGACCGGCACAAUGGGCUGCCACUGCGCGAGCAGGAGCGAAUCCCCAAAGCCGGCCCCAGUUCGGAUUGGAGGCUGCAACCCGCCUCCAUGAAGUCGGAGUUGCUAGUAAUCGCGGAUCAGCACGCCGCGGUGAAUGCGUUCCCGGGCCUUGUACACACCGCCCGUCACACCACCCGAGUCGUCUGCACCCGAAGUCGUCGGCCCAACCCGCAAGGGAGGGAGGACGCCGAAGGUGUGGAGGGUAAGGGGGGUGAAGUCGUAACAAGGUAACCGUA